GAGGAGCUUUGGCGGCGCGCCUAACACAUGCAAGUCGAACGGUUAAGGCGCCUUCGGGCGCAUAUAAAGUGGCGAACGGCUGAGUAACACGUGGGCAACCUGCCCCUCGCACCGGGACAGCCUCGGGAAACCGUGGAUGAUACCGGAUACUCCGCCUCCCCCGCAUGGGGAGGGCGGGAAAGCCCAGAUGGCGAGGGAUGGGCCCGCGGCCUGUUAGCUAGUUGGCGGGGCAGCGGCCCACCAAGGCGAUGAUGGGUAGCCGGGUUGAGAGACCGACCGGCCAGAUUGGGACUGAGACACGGCCCACACUCCUACGGGAGGCAGCAGUGGGGAAUCUUGCACAAUGGGCGGAAGCCUGAUGCAGCGACCCCGCGUGCGGGAAGAAGGCCUUCGGGCUGUAACCCGCUUUCAGCAGGCACGAGGCGAAAGUGACGGUACCUGCAGAAGAAGCCCCGGCUAACUACGUGCCAGCAGCCGCGGUAAUACGUAGGCGGCAAGCGUUAUCCGGAUUCAUUGGGCGUAAAGCGCGCGUAGGCGGCCAGCCUGGUCGGGAGUCAAAUCCGGGGGCUCAACCCCCGUCCGCUCGCGAUACCGGCCGGCUUGAGUCUGGCAGGGGAAGGCGGAAUUCCCGGUGUAGCGGUGGAAUGCGCAGAUAUCGGGAAGAAC
rnacentral:rRNA from 1 species